rnacentral:rRNA from 1 species
ACGUAGGGAGCAAGCGUUGUUCGGAUUUACUGGGCGUAAAGGGCGCGUAGGCGGCCCCUUAAGCGUGUGGUGAAAGCGCGGGGCUCAACCCCGCGUCGGCCAUGCGGACUGGGGGGCUGGAGCAGACCAGAGGCAGGCGGAAUUCCGGGUGUAGCGGUGGAAUGCGUAGAGAUCCGGAAGAACACCGGUGGCGAAAGCGCUCUGCUGGGCCGCAACUGACACUAAUGGACGAAAGCUAGGGGAGCGAAUGGGA